rnacentral:rRNA from 1 species
AUUGAACGCUGGCGGCAGGCCUAACACAUGCAAGUCGAGCGGAUGAAGGGAGCUUGCUCCUGGAUUCAGCGGCGGACGGGUGAGUAAUGCCUAGGAAUCUGCCUGGUAGUGGGGGAUAACGUCCGGAAACGGGCGCUAAUACCGCAUACGUCCUGAGGGAGAAAGUGGGGGAUCUUCGGACCUCACGCUAUCAGAUGAGCCUAGGUCGGAUUAGCUAGUUGGUGGGGUAAAGGCCUACCAAGGCGACGAUCCGUAACUGGCCUGAGAGGAUGAUCAGUCACACUGGAACUGAGACACGGUCCAGACUCCUACGGGAGGCAGCAGUGGGGAAUAUUGGACAGUGGGCGAAAGCCUGAUCCAGCCAGGCGGCGUGUGUGAAGAAGGUCUUCGGAUUGGAAAGCACUUUAAGUUGGGAGGAAGGGCGGUAAGUUAAUACCUUGCUGUUUUGACGUUACCAACAGAAUAAGCACCGGCUAACUUCGUG